ACGGAAGGCAGCAGUGGGGAAUAUUGGGCAAUGGGCGAAAGCCUGACCCAGCAACGCCGCGUGAAGGAAGAAGGCCUUCGGGUUGUAAACUUCUUUUAUCAGGGACGAAGAAAGUGACGGUACCUGAUGAAUAAGCCACGGCUAACUACGUGCCAGCAGCCGCGGUAAUACGUAGGUGGCGAGCGUUAUCCGGAUUUACUGGGUGUAGAGGGCGCGUAGGCGGGGAUGCAAGUCAGAUGUGAAAUCCAUGGGCUUAACCCAUGAACUGCAUUUGAAACUGUAUCUCUUGAGUGUCGGAGGGGUAGACGGAAUUCCUAGUGUAGCGGUGAAAUGCGUAGAUAUUAGGAGGAACACCAGUGGCGAAGGCGGUCUACUGGACUGUAACUGACACUGAGGCUCGAAAGCGUGGGGAGCAAACAGGAUUAGAUACCCUGGUA
rnacentral:rRNA from 1 species